UUAGCUCUCAGACCCAUCCACAUGGAACUUCUGGCAAUUCAUCAAGUAUAAUUUAGGUUUUCUUCAUUAGUUUCUGCUCAGGUUUUGGUGAUGUAAAAUGAAUGAAUCACAGUCCUGGUCCUCAAAGAUAGCCAUACUGAAGGAGAUGGACAUGAACAUAAAGAACCUCCAUGCUGAAUGAGAAGCCCAUCACAGCCCAUGAUGACCUGUAUAAUGUGCUUCUGGGAGAAAAGAAGUCUCAAAACCUAAGGGAGAUACCCAGAGUAAUUUCUCUAAGGAGUUGUUUGAGAUUGAUUGAAGACCUCAAUUGUGAGAAAAAACAAACUCAGAGAGGGCAGAGAAAGGCAACUGAGACCUUGCCAUACAAUGCCUUGGUGGGAUGGACUUUCUGGUAAACCUUGUGUUAACUCCUCAAGGAAAUGCCUGGGCAUAUACCAGAAUAGUGUCUGACAGUGUGAUGCAACCUAAUGCUGCCUCUACUUGCUGGAAUUUUACUUUGUGCCUCUGGGUGGUAAUUAGGGAUUGUUUGAUCUGAGUCAAUAAAAUACUAUUCAAUUUCCCCUGCA